AUUGAACGCUGGCGGCAGGCUUAACACAUGCAAGUCGAGCGGUUUAUAGGUGCUUGCACUUAUAGAUAGUGGCAGACGGGUGAGUAACGCGUGGGAACGUACCUCUUGGUUCGGAAUAACUACUGGAAACGGUAGCUAAUACUGGAUACGUCCGAAAGGAGAAAGAUUUAUUGCCGAGGGAGCGGCCCGCGUUAGAUUAGGUAGUUGGUUGGGUAAAGGCUGACCAAGCCUGUGAUCUAUAGCUGGUUUGAGAGGAUGAUCAGCCACACUGGGACUGAGACACGGCCCAGACUCCUACGGGAGGCAGCAGUGGGGAAUAUUGGACAAUGGGGGCAACCCUGAUCCAGCAAUGCCGCGUGAGUGAAGAAGGCCUGGUUGUAAGACUCUUUGUUAGGUACGAUGAUGACGGUACCUAACGAAUAAGACCCGGCGUAAC
rnacentral:rRNA from 1 species